CUCAAGUUAAUUGAGAAUGCCUAGCUCUUCGAAAGAAGAUUUGGGAUCCAAAUGAAAAGGCGUUUUGAAUUCACCUCCCUUGUUUGGAAGGACAUCAGCGAAGAUCUCGAGGCCUUUUGGAAUUGUACUUCAUUUCGACUGGGGCAGCGUUGUGAACAUUAGAUUUUGGGAGGGCACUUGGUUUCGCUCUACCCCUCUUGCCCUACUCUUCUGUGACUUGUAUCCCGUGGUCGUCAAACAGUAUUUCGGUUGCUUCACAAUAGAGGUGGAGGUCUUUUCGGUGGAAUGUGGACAUUUGUGGCCCAUCGUCGCUUCCCCAAACCCUGCGUUUGCGGAAUCUGAUGGAUUCACUCGCUCCUCUCAGGCCAACUCGGAUUGCAGAAAAGCC
rnacentral:lncRNA from 1 species